rnacentral:rRNA from 1 species
CCUACGGGAGGCAGCAGUGAGGAAUAUUGCUCAAUGGACGAAAGUCUGAUCCAGCCAAGUAGCGUGAAUGAUGACUGCCCUAUGGGUUGUAAACUUCUUUUAUAUGGGAAUAAAAUGUUCCACGUGUGGGAUUUUGUAUGUACCAUAUUAAUACAGAUCGGCUAACCCCGUUCCAGCAGCCGCGGUAAUACAGUGGAGCCGAGCGUUAUCCUGAUUUAUUGGGUUUGACGGUAGCGUAGGUGGAUUGUUAAGUUAGUUGGGAAAUCUUGCGGCUAAACCGUAAAAUUGCAGUUGAAACUGGCAGUCUUGAGUACAGUAGAGGUGGGCGGAAUUCGUGGUGUAGCGGUGAAAUGCUUAGAGAUCACGAAGAACUCCGAUUGCGAAGGCAGCUCACUGGACUGCAACUGACACUGAGGCUCGAAAGUGUGGGUAUCAAACAGGAUUAGAUACCCUUGUAGUC